rnacentral:sRNA from 1 species
UUACCCGAUUAGACUAGCGAGUAGGUGA